AACGAACGCUGGCGGCAGGCCUAACACAUGCAAGUCGAACGCCGUAGCAAUACGGAGUGGCAGACGGGUGAGUAACGCGUGGGAACAUACCCUUUGGUUCGGAAUAACUCAGGGAAACUUGAGCUAAUACCGGAUACGUCCGAGGUUUAAUCGGCCUUGGAGAAAGAUUAUCGCCGGAGGAUUGGCCCGCGUCUGAUUAGCUUGUUGGUGAGGUAAUGGCUCACCAAGGCGACGANCAGUAGCUGGUCUGAGAGGAUGAUCAGCCACAUUGGGACUGAGACACGGCCCAAACUACCUACGGGA
rnacentral:rRNA from 1 species